rnacentral:rRNA from 1 species
UAAUACAUGCAAGUCGAGCGCACCUUCGGGUGAGCGGCGGACGGGUGAGUAACGCGUGGGAACGUGCCCUUUGGUACGGGAUAACUGAGGGAAACUUCAGCUAAUACCGUAUGUGCCCUACGGGGGAAAGAUUUAUCGCCAUUGGAGCGGCCCGCGUUGGAUUAGGUAGUUGGUGGGGUAAAGGCCCACCAAGCCGACGAUCCAUAGCUGGUCUGAGAGGAUGAUCAGCCACACUGGGACUGAGACACGGCCCAGACUCCUACGGGAGGCAGCAGUAGGGAAUCUUGCGCAAUGGGCGAAAGCCUGACGCAGCCAUGCCGCGUGAAUGAUGAAGGUCUUAGGAUUGUAAAAUUCUUUCACCGGGGAAGAUAAUGACGGUACCCGGAGAAGAAGCCCCGGCUAACUUCGUGCCAGCAGCCGCGGUAAUACGAAGGGGGCUAGCGUUGCUCGGAAUUACUGGGCGUAAAGGGCGCGUAGGCGGAUGUUUAAGUCGGGGGUGAAAGCCCGGGGCUCAACCUCGGAAUUGCCUUCGAUACUGGACAUCUUGAGUACGGGAGAGGUGAGUGGAACUCCGAGUGUAGAGGUGAAAUUCGUAGAUAUUCGGAAGAACACCAGUGGCGAAGGCGACUCACUGGCCCGUUACUGACGCUGAGGCGCGAAAGCGUGGGGAGCAAACAGG